GCCUUCGUGGUGUAGAGGUCAACACGCUCGGCGCGUAUGCGAGAGGUCCGUGGUUCGAGUCCUGGCGAGGGCA
rfam:Stegodyphus mimosarum contig88075, whole genome shotgun sequence.